GAAUAAAACAGAGAUAUAUUCCAGAGCACAAUUACUAACGAAGGAUACAUUUACGUACAAAGUUUCUACUGGAAUUUUAUAAAGGGAAACCUGAGGUUUUAGUCACAAUUUUGGGGUGCCCAACCUAAGAUAUCUUAGAGGUCCUGAUUUUCAGAAAGAGCUGAGCACUCAACUUCUGAGAAAUCAGGCCUCUUUGAGGUGUCAAGUGGGGCACCUCAAAACCAUUAGUCAUUU